UACGGAGGGUGCAAGCGUUAAUCGGAAUUACUGGGCGUAAAGCGCGCGCAGGCGGUCUUCCAAGUCAGUGGUGAAAGCCCGGAGCUCAACUCCGGAAUUGCCAUUGAAACUGUGAGACUGGAGUACGAGAGAGGUGAGUGGAAUUCCCAGUGUAGAGGUGAAAUUCGUAGAUAUUGGGAAGAACACCGGUGGCGAAGGCGGCUCACUGGCUCGUAACUGACGCUCAGGCGCGACAGCGUGGGGAUCAAACAGG
rnacentral:rRNA from 1 species